UGGGGAGAAUCGCCUUUCCCAAACGAAUCUGCCCGCAGAGGCUGCGGCUUCGAGUGGGGAGAGAGGGGUUCCCUACGGGACGUAUAAACGGGAAAAGCCCGGGGAAAGCGGCUCCACGACCUCAGGGUCGACGCAAGUGGAAAUGUGAAGUUUGGCCAAAUGGAGUGAGAGAGCACUGGGGGGGCUUUGAGAGAGCGGGCCGCGGUCCCGAAUGUCCCCCCGGAUGUCGCUGUGUUGCGUCCCCACGUUGGGACGGACGGGCGUAGGGCGUGCGCCGGGUGAGGGACGGGGGGCGGAGGCAGCACCCCCGUGUUGGGCUGUCCCCUUCCCCGGGGGGAGCUCGGCCCAGCCCGCACCCCGGCCCGUGGGCCGGUUACCCCCUCCCCGACCAAAAUGCCAUCCUCAAAACUCUCUCCUCCCCAUCCUUCAUCCUAAAGCUGACACUGCCUCGCAUUUCGUAUGGCUGUGGGAGGGGAGGGGGGGUAGCGGAGGAGAUCCAUAUUUGAUCUUGUUCACUUCACACAGCGCUCCCAGACGGAGAAUAAAGCCCCCUCCUGAAUUAUCCAACAGGGCUAAAGCAGGUUGAGUCAGUGAAAUUCAGUUCCUUAUUUUAUGAGGUGUCAGGGCUGAUGUCGAAUAUGGCAACGAUAACUAAUACUACAGUCUGAGGGACCAGAACGUGGUAAUUAAUCCCAAAGACUUAAGUGUAUUUUAGUUCAGGAGAAAAAAAAUCACUAAUUCAAUCGUCCGGAAAAUUGAAGUUUGAUGCAUGAGUCUCUGCUGAAAGGAAAGGCUUUUUCUUCCCGAUUCUGGGGCUGGGGCAGGAAUCGCAGCCUCUCUGCUCCGCUCCCCCGAAAGACCCCGGUGUGAGGCUGCGAGGGGAUCGGGGGACGGAGCGCGGCUCAUAAGGGACGGGCCCGUGGGGACAGGGACACCGGGACCGGCCGGGCGGUCUCCAGCAUUCUGUUUGCUCGCAUUUGUUCCGUUGCUGCCAGGAAUAAGGGAAAAAACGGGGAGGACCUCGGGGCCCGGAGAGCCCCGGAGAGCCGCGCGCCCCCGCCCGUGCACAGGGCAGCCCGGAGGCUCAGGGCAAAUUCAACAGCACG
rnacentral:lncRNA from 1 species